UGUAAGUAACAUGGGAGAAUUUGAAGAAAGCAUCGUACACUUUUUGUCCUAUUCUCCCUGAUCUUCAUCCCAAAAUGAACACUGCAAAAUAAAAUUAAUCUGAAUCUGAGAAAUCUGGAGCAGAAAUCUGAAGCUUGUAGAUGUGCAUGCAAUCUCCAUUGAAGAAGGAAGAAUGUUCGUCUGUAAUGCUCUGGCAUUCCUCUAAGAAAGGAACAACGACCGAAUGACUUUUGCACACUUAUGGCCUUCACGUUUGAAUUAAUACUUAGGUCCCAGCUAUGGCAAAGCCCAGCCGCUUUUCUGCUUUUCUGCCGAAUGUUAAGCAAAAGCAAAUCUUGCUUCCCUCCCAGCCUGCAUGUUCCACACACGCCAGCAAACUGAGGGGGCAGCUGUAACAAGGCCCACUGCAACGCAGAUACUUUGUAGGCUCCA